GGACGGUACUCCUCAGGGAUGUGUUUGUGGUCCUGUGAACUUUAAUGUAAUGAUAAAUUGUGUUUUUGAGUAGGAUGAACAGGGAAAAGUAGUUCAUUAUAUGCAGAUGAUGGAUUAUAUUCAGGAAAACAUGGAAACGAAGACAAGGCAUCCAGUUAGAGAUUCUCAACCAUCAAAUUCAGUAUAUGGGAAAACCACUGGGUUCACAAUUAAAGGCCAUUUCAGCAUCUCCUGUGGUGUCUUCCUGCUGUGAGUCCCAGAGUUUUCUCAGCAUGGAAGGUUAAAAACCUUUCUGCUGUCACUGCUCCACCCCUGACCUUUUAAGACUGGAGGUUACCUGUUGUCCUCUUCCAGCAUGGUCCUGAUGUUGUGGAGUAUCCAGUGUGGAACAUGUUUUGUCAAGAUCAACAGGUGUUCUGGUCCAGUGAGGAGACACUUGAGUUACAAUUAGUGCUAAAACAUUUUGACCUGGUUCUUAUGAUCUAAGUCAAACCGGCGGCUGAUGUGAUGGGAGAAGGUGGAACACCUUAAGAACCAUUUAUUAGCUAAAAGGCUGUCAUGGCUACUUUGUCCCUCUGGUGGGGAUGUGAUGGUGACCUAAGUGUCACAUGUUUUUAACCUGUUUCUGCUCUUACAUCAGAUUGGCUGAGCAUGCGAUGUUUAACUUUACCAAGCUGCUUAUUUUUCUCAGCUGUUUCAUAUUCAGACUUGCUUUAAAAGCAACCAAGAUCAAGCAGAUAAUGUUGCUCCAUCUGAAUCAGCAGUUUCCUCGUAUGAUUUCAUUUCCUACUGGAGACUCAAAGAGCAUGUUUGUUAUUAGCUUGUUAAAUGAUUCAAUCAGGUCUUUAACAGGAUAUAAGGACCAGCAGAGUAAAGUUACCGCUGUUUAUAGUAACUACGUUUAAGACCACAUGCCUUUAUUUUGAAAGCGUCCUAAUGAGCGGAAGUAGGGUAACGGAACCAGCUCAGUUGGACAAAAAGGUAAAACCGGAAUGAGUUUGGCAACACAGAGAAAGGAUGACGAAAAGAGGCAACCUAAGCUUAGCUUCAAUCGAUAGAGGAACAAGCUCUUACGUUGGUUGAUGACAUGGACGGAUUCAAUAAAUCAUCAUUUAACCACCAGUUCUGGUCUUCUCAAUAUUGACUGGAUGCUACACAGGAACUAAUUCAUCAGAUCUCAUCUUUAAAGCUAAAUCUAAGGGAUUUUCUGCUGGUGAAGGAAUGAAGAUAGAGAUGUUUAUGUUAAACUGUCACCAAAAUCUAGAAUGCCAAACUUCAGAUUUCAUUAAGUGAGGCAGAAGGCAAAUCCUGUGCAGCAGGAGCUGUUUGAUUGGUUCCUGGAGUUUAUUGCAGAGGGACUGAAGGAUGUUUAGUCCAUGUUCUUAUAGGCUGAUUUUAGACGGGAUCAUACAGGACAAUAUCCCUAAAUUUAUAGGAAAAUGUCAUGUUCUUGGAAUGUGGAGCAUGUGAACAAGAAAAAAGACCAUUAAUUGGUUCAGUCUUCAUAUUUUUAUGUGGACAAGCUGUCUGUUUUCAGUCUGAAUGGUGCUGGUUGCCAGCAGCUUCCUAAUGUUCUGACCAUGCCAACCAGUAUGAGAUAAUAAAAUGGCAGUAAAAGUGGUGGAACCAUACAGGACCCACA